UAGGGAAGAAUUCUGACGGUACCUAAGGAAUAAGCACCGGCUAAUUCCGUGCCAGCAGCCGCGGUAAUACGGAGGGUGCCAGCGUUACUUGGAAUCACUGGGCGUAAAGGCGCGUAGGCGGAUUAUCAAGUCUCUUGUGAAAUCUAAUGGCUUAACCAUUAAACUGCUUGGGAAACUGAUUGUCUAGAGUGAGGGAGAGGCAGAUGGAAUUGGUGGUGUAGGGGUAAAAUCCGUAGAUAUCACCAAGAAUACCCAUUGCGAAGGCGAUCUGCUGGAACUCAACUGACGCUAAGGCGCGAAAGCGUGGGGAGCAAACAGGAUUAGAUACCCUGGUAGUCCACGCCCUAAACGAUGUACACUAGUUGUUGGGGUGCUAGUCAUCUCAGUAAUGCAGCUAACGCAUUAAGUGUACCGCCUGGGGAGUACGGUCGCAAGAUUAAAACUCAAAGGAAUAGACGGGGACCCGCACAAGCGGUGGAGCAUGUGGUUUAAUUCGAAGAUACGCGAAGAACCUUACCUGGGCUUGAUAUCCUAAGAACCUUUUAGAGAUAAGAGGGUGCUAGCUUGCUAGAACUUAGAGACAGGUGCUGCACGGCUGUCGUCAGCUCGUGUCGUGAGAUGUUGGGUUAAGUCCCGCAACGAGCGCAACCCACGUAUUUAGUUGCUAACGGUUCGGCCGAGCACUCUAAAUAGACUGCCUUCGUAAGGAGGAGGAAGGUGUGGACGACGUCAAGUCAUCAUGGCCCUUAUGCCCAGGGCGACACACGUGCUACAAUGGCAUAUACAAUGAGACGCAAUACCGCGAGGUGGAGCAAAUCUAUAAAAUAUGUCCCAGUUCGGAUUGUUCUCUGCAACUCGAGAGCAUGAAGCCGGAAUCGCUAGUAAUCGUAGAUCAGCCAUGCUACGGUGAAUACGUUCCCGGGUCUUGUACUCACCGCCCGUCACACCAUGGGAGUUGAU
rnacentral:rRNA from 1 species